rnacentral:rRNA from 1 species
GAUGAACGCUGGCGGCGUGCCUAAUACAUGCAAGUCGAGCGAACAGAUGAGGAGCUUGCUCCUCUGACGUUAGCGGCGGACGGGUGAGUAACACGUGGAUAACCUACCUAUAAGACUGGGAUAACUUCGGGAAACCGGAGCUAAUACCGGAUAAUAUAUUGAACCGCAUGGUUCAAUAGUGAAAGACGGUUUUGCUGUCACUUAUAGAUGGAUCCGCGCCGCAUUAGCUAGUUGGUAAGGUAACGGCUUACCAAGGCAACGAUGCGUAGCCGACCUGAGAGGGUGAUCGGCCACACUAGAGCUGAGACACCGUCCAGACUCCUACGGGAGGCAGCAGUAGGGAAUCGUCCGCAGUGGGCGAAAGCCUGACGGAGCAACGCCGCGUGAGUGAUGAAGGUCUUCGGAUCGUAAAACUCUGUUAUUAGGGAAGAACAAAUGUGUAAGUAACUAUGCACGUCUUGACGGUACCUAAUCAGAAAGCCACGGCUAACUACGUG